UUGCGGUUAAAAAGCUCGUAGUUGGAUUUCUGUCAGUGAGUUGCAGUCCGCCCCCAGCGGUAGGUACUUGCUACGCCACUGGCAUCUUCCUGGGGAAUGUGUCUGCUCUUUAUUGAGUGGCGCACUAUCCAGGACUUUUACUUUGAAGAAAUGAGAGUGUUUCAAGCAGGCAUGCGCCGUGAAUACGUUAGCAUGGGAUAAUAGCAUCGGACCUCGUUCCAAAGCUGUUGGUUUCUUGGACCGAGGUAAAGGUGAAUAGGGAUUGUUGGGGGCAUUCGUAUUUGACUGUCAGAGGUGAAAUUCUUGGAUUUGUUGAAGACGGACUACUGCGAAAGCAUCUGCCAAAGAUGUUCUCAUUGAUCAAGAACGAAAGUUAGGUGAUCGAAGACGAUCAGAUACCGUCCUAGUCUUAACCAUAAACUAUGCCGACUGGAGAUCGGGGGUCGUUAAUUAUGUGACGCCCUCUGCAUCUUGAGAGAAAUCAAAGUCUUUGGGUUCCGGGGGGAGUAUGGUCGCAAGGCUGAAACUUAAAGGAAUUGACGGAAGGGCACCACCAGGAGUGGAGCCUGCGGCUUAAUUUGACUCAACACGGGGAAACUUACCAGGUCCAGACAUAGUAAGGAUUGACAGACUGAUAGCUCU
rnacentral:rRNA from 1 species